GCAAACACAACUGUGAGUGCUGCUGAAUAAUACAGGAGAACUCAUGAAACAUAAAUUACUCUCAUUGUCAGAACUUCCCCAGGAAUAAACACAGGUAACAGAAGAGAAAAGGCUGGUCCAUAUGGAGUCUGACUGACAAGCCAACGUGUCCUUAUGUAGUUAAACUGGUAUGUCAUCAUGUCAAGGUGUCAAUUUGUUGUCCUUUAAAACACAUAUGUUAAUAUGCAAGUACAGUUUUGUGAUUCUAAGUGUCACAGGCAACUGGAUGUGUUUCAGUUUCCUGAUAUGUGUCACCUUUCAUCCAAGAUGCAUCUUAGGUUUUAGCUAAAUGGAGGGGAGUUGCAGGCUUUUGUGUCCUCACAGAGUCGCUAAGGACACAUGUUAGCUGAGUUUCGAAGCGUUAAGCUGUCUAGACAGCUGUCUAGACCUGGGCUCAUCCUCCCCUACCAACCCACACGAAGACCAGAUGGGUCAACGAUCCACAAGUGGUCCUAACGACUGUGAAACUCUGUACACUUUGUAGUUUGUACAUCAGUGAAGCAGCAGAUUCUUCGAAUAAAUGAUGCUGACGAUGUGCCAUUUACUCAAUGACAUUCUUAUCAAUGCCACAGGCUAUCUUUGCCUUUGGAUUCUGCACUUCUGAGUCUUUCACACAUCCAGUAUUUUAUAAUGGAUUGUUUUAUCAUUCACAGCAUGGAUGGUUGACACGAAUCCCCUAUGGACUAAUUUGCCAAUUUUUUUCACAUUUAAAAAGGUGCAGUAUGCAAAAAUCCGCCAACUUGCAACUCCACACAAAUAGGGGGCAGUACAUUAGCAGAGUAACUGCUAACUGUAGCUGUCGUUAGCUAGCUGCCUCAGGCAGCUGUGCAGCUCUAGGUUUGUACUGGGAGCCUGGAGUGGUUUUACAUGUUUUAUCUUUUCUGUCUUCAACCUGCUGGAAGAGGCGUCGGGCAAUACUACGACGGUACCAGGCUCUGGGGAAGGCCAGGAUCUCGCUCAGUCGUCUCAUGUCGUACUUGAAGGAGGCCGAGCCAAUGUCACACACGGCUAAGGAAGAGAGUGUAACAUUUGUUCAGAGAAAUGCCCUCCCCUGGAGCUGAGGACAAACCUGAGAUGUUGAUGAGGGUGGUGUCCAUUUUUCCACCUUUGGCAGGAAUGAAGCUCUCAAUAAAGAAGACGGCUCCUCAUCAACUGUACCUUCCGGAAAAAGUUUUUCCUUUCUAUUUCCAUACCUAACGGCCCUGGGCCCGGAGGCAGGCCUGUGACAGCAGAUUUCUGCUUUCCGGCGCCGUAGGGGUGGAAGACGUAGAGGGAGAAGUCAGACAUGCAGGCAGUGAAGCUGAGCCCCGAGGAGACCUUUGCUGGGAGGCAGUUUGGGGACGUGUUGCCCAGGUGGAGUGGAGGAUGGGUGAGAGCCGUCAGUAGGAUGGGCCCCCGCUGGAGUCUCCAGUUCUCCCCGGUUAGAAGAAAAGACAAGAUCCAAAGAGGGCA